GCGUCCGGACUGGCCCAGAGAGGAGGGAAACCACCACUCAGGGCCGGAAAGUUCUCCAAACUCGGUCAUUUAGAGGAAGUAAAAGUCGUAACAAGGUCUCCGUUGGUGAACCAGCGGAGGGAUCAUU
rnacentral:rRNA from 1 species